ACAGAUGGCUGUUCCAUUCUGGGAGCCAGCACUGAAAGCCACAUGGAAUCCAGUCCAGACUGAAAAGCUGAAGAUGAUGUCGUCCAGCAGAGCAAAGAUGAAACCAAGGAUUGGCAGAGUGCAAAGCCAUUAGGGUCAUUCAUCUUUCCCUAACCGCUCGUCAGUGCCUCAACAGUCGCACUCCCCCACCCCCCACCCCACUCCCAAACAAAAACUGAUGGGUCAGUGGUUUCUUGCAGGGGAGCUGUUGGCUUGCACAGAGUGUUGCUAACCACUUUGGGCUAAAAUAUGGUGGAGGGUGAUGGGACCCUGGGAACCAGACCCCUGUCAAUGUCCUGAGGAGGGGCCAGAAGAUGGAAAGCACUCAUGGGCAUAGGCCCGUUUGAGGGAGGGCCACAUACCUGCUUGCUGUAGCUGCCAAUCACUACCAUUGGUGUUUUUCACAGGGUAUUCUCACUUCCCCGUAACCACAGGACUCCUUUGGAAAAAUACUGGGAUAAACCUGACAUUAACCAUCAACAGCAACCACAGAGAGGAAGGUGCACUCUGUUCCUUUUCCCUGCCACGAAUUUGAGCCCUGACUGACACCAGUAGCACUGGGAUCCAGAACAGUGAUCCUGAGUGAGGCACCCGAACCCAGCCUGAGAUAGAGUGAGCUGCACAUCCUCGAGAUUUAUGUUCACUCAUUACACACUUGCCUGCUGUUGGCACUGCGCCCAAUACACCAAAUGGAUGGCACCUCUCUGAUCAAACAUGGCUGUAAAUUAGCUGCAGAAUCUCGCAGGAUAAGGGAAGGCCAUUUAGUUCAACAUUGCUGUCCAUGCUCAUUAAGAAAGCUCUCCAAUGUUUCCCAUUGCCUGCAGCUCUUCCUCAUGUGCCUGUGAUUCUUUUCCAUUCCACUAUUUCUCCAGUUCCCCUUUUUGAGUGGUCCUGUUGAAUCAGCUUCCUCUGCCCUCUCCUGGCAGCAAGCUCCAGAUCACAAGGACUCACUGCGUCAAAAUUCAGCUGUUUUAUUGAGAAGAACAUAAAAGUGAUCGCUUGUAAGAAAUCCAUGAAUUUUGGAUCAUUCCUUUGCUGGGGGGGAGUUGGGGGGUGAGUGAGUCUGGGUGUGAAUCCCCAUGUUGAGGUGCAGCACAAUCAGGAUGUGACGUUGGAAAUGGUCCACGUUCUCGCUGACUCCCACAGUCAGUAGGUAUGGAUGGCAAUGGCUGUAUUUGGGAGUAGCUCAGAAACACAUUGUGAAUAUUUCCAUCCGUGACAUUUGGUCAGCUCUUACACAAUCAAAUAGACCGAACCUGCCCCCCAACCCACCCACUCAAUACAAGCCCCACCCAGGCAAUAGAACCUCCCUCACUCCACUUCAUCGGAAGUGUGCAUCCAAUCUGUGGUCCUGUUCCAGUCUUCUGGAAGAUCACAAGUGACUAAAUACUUGGCAGUCCCUGUCUGUGCCAUUUACUGGUACACACUCAUGGUCAUCUUCAUCUUCAUCUCACUCUGAGGAAGAACCUGUCUAGGCCAAACUGAAGGCUCUCAUUGUCUUUGUGACUCAGUUCUUGAGGUGCUUAUCCGGUUGGAUUCUGCACCUGGAGGUUAGCAGUUAUGCAGCAGGAGAUAACACCGCAGUUCUACAGGAGCGAAACCAACUUGCGAUGCCCAGCUUGUCCCUGCAUUUUCCUGGGUGUCUUCGACCAGAUCCAGGGAUUGAUGGGGUGGCCAUGAUUUAUAAUAAGGUUCUUUAGGCUCUCUUAUAUUGUUCAGCAUCUAAUGUUCUACUUUGCCGACCUACCUAUCUGCUGUAUUUUAUUAGCCUGUUUAAAGCUAAGAUCUAGUGUUUAUGCAAAACCCUGAGCUUCCAGGAACUUGAUCGUCACCUGCAGGUAAGAUGACCCAAGGUGAUGGAGGAAUCAGUGCUCUCCGCACUCACUUCCUCAUCCAACCCAACCCUCCACAUCCUCCAGGCCUACCUUCCUCCUCUUCCAACCCACCCACCUCACCUCAAUCCAACCUCCAUACCAACCCACCCUCCUCAUCCAACCCAACCUCUUCUUCAUCUGACAACCCACCCUCCACCUCCCGCUGGCCUACCCUCCUCCUCACCAAACUCACCCUGUCUCCUCAACCCAACCUCCUCAAUCCGACACAGCCUGAUCCUCAUCUCAGCAGCUAUACAAACGUCAGGAGAGCUUCACCUUCAUCUGCCUUUCAUGCCCUGACCCUAACCACGACCCUCACCCUGAGGCUGACUCUAACCAUAACACUGACCCUAACCAUGGCCCUGACCCUGACCCUAACCAUACCCUGACUCUAACCCUGACCCUAAUCAUGAUCCCUGACCCUAACUACGAUCCUGACCCUAACCACGACCCUGACCCUAACCAUGACACUGACUGUUAUUCUAACCCUGACCCUAACCAUGGCCCUGACCCUAACCAUGGCCCUGACUCUAACCAUGACCCUGACUGUAACCAUGACCCUGACCCUAACUACGAUCCUGACCCUGACUCUAACCCUGACCCUGACUCUAACCCUGACCCUGACUCUAACCCUGACCCUGACUCUAACGCUGACCCUAACCAUGGCCCUGACCCUAACCAUGACCCUGACCCUGACCCUAACCCAACUUUUCCCUUCCUUUCUCAGGAUUUUGUUAAUUUUGGGCUAUUUCUAUGAUGAAUUGUUGAGUAAUUAUUAUUAAUGUGUGGCCACUGAGAUUCCAUGUGGCUUUAUCCCGAACGCUGGAGCCCAAUGCAAAUCCAAAUCCAAAUCCAAGAAUCUUGAGAAGGGUUUUUUUUAAAAUUUCCUGGUUGGAUCAUUGUUUGAAAUAGUGAACUGCAUUGCUUCAAUCAAUCUACAGUGAGAGAAAGUUUGACUGUCAAUAACACAGCAACAAUCCUGCAUAUUCCCAUCCUGCGCACCCCGAACUUGUGUAAUGUGCAUGAAUGAUGAUUGUCUUGUUAACCAGUUAUUGCCAACUAUUUUUCCACACCUCGUGACUUUAUCCAGUACUUUAUCUCGCCAACUCGCUUGAUGGGCACUACAUGCCUGUAUUCGCCUUCCUUCGCUGUUCCUAAACAGCCACCAUCUGCUCCUUUGGAGGUAACUGGGGGACUGAUUGCUAAGGCACCGUCCCCCUGGAGGAGGGUCUGCUGUAGCUGAGGUUUUCUCUGCACCCCAGCUUCAGGGUCACUGAGGGGGAGUGGGGCUGACGGUGACUAACUGGGAGAACUAAAGCUGACUGUAGGAUUUGUGCCAGUCCCUCAGCACCUUCCAAUUCAACACACCUUGGAACUGGAUAGUGUAGGCGUGAGAAAUUGUGCCAGUUUUCGAAAUGAAAAGUCUGAAACAAAAACUAGCAAAUGAGCUGUUGGAUUGCCAUAAAAAACCUAUCUGGUUCACCAAUGUCCUUUAGGGAAGGAAAUCCUUACCCAAUCAGGGCCUAUAUGUGACUCCAGACCCACAGCAAUGGGGCUGAUUUUGAGCAGCCCCUCUGUAGUGACAUAGCAAACCCAUCUGAUUAGACAGCACAUUGGCAGUGACCCCCCAGCCUUGGCACAAACGGAGUGUGGCCACCAUCACAAGCUCCUGGUAACUGCACAAUGACCUUUGGAGUGGUUUGUAAAUGUCUGAGGCUUUACACCAUGAUGCUUCCAUCCUUCAGGAAUGUUUGGAGCAGGACCAUGGAGAUGGAGCCAGUGGAUGGCCUUACCCUGUGGCUCUGUUGUAGUUUCAGCAGAUUCAGUGAUUGUGUUCAAACGUCAGGCUAAGCCCAUACUCUCGGUCACCAUGCUACAGGGUGCUGUCUGGUGUGGUUACUGUCUUGUUCAAUCACCUCAUCAAUCAGCAGGAUGGAGCCACUGUUUUCUCAGACACAAGCAGCACCCUGAACACUAGAGCCAGCCGCUGUGCGGUUUAUUCCUGCAGCUACAGGGGCCUGAAUGGCCGGUAGAUGGUGAUCCAGAGGAAGCAGUAUACUAGCCCUGUCCAAGUUCCACACUGAGUGCGAGAGAGCUCAUGCUCUUAUGUUUAUCUUCCUGGAUUGAUAGUCUUUUUGUUUCUGAUAGGGAUCUGUAUUGAGCUAUGAAGAGGUUGGCAAUUUUUUGUAACUGCCCAUGUUUGGCUUUAUGCUGAAGGUCAGGCUUUCUCCACUAGCUUCAGCGGGAGACUUUGGAUUGUCAAGGGAUAUUAGCUGGAACCUGUGCUUUCAGUAUAAACUUACUCCUGAAUGUCCCUCCGACAUAAGGCAGUCCAAUCACAAUCAGCAAAGACGGGAGAGUCACCUCAGGGAGAACAGCCAGUAGUCUGUAUAUUAGUCAGGAGGUACCUACAGCCAGCACUUUGUGUGUGUGAGAGAGCACAGAGUUACCUGUGGGCAGGUGUGUGUGUGAGAGAGAGCACGGAGUUACCUGUGGGCAGGUGUGUGUGUGAGAGAGCAUGGAGUUACCUGUGGGCAGGUGUGUGUGUGAGAGAGAGCACGGAGUUACCUGUGGGCAGGUGUGUGUGUGUGUGUGAGAGAGCACGGAGUUACCUGUGGGCAGGUGUGUGUGUGUGAGAGAGCACGGAGUUACCUGUGGGCAGGUGUGUGUGUGAGAGAGCAUGGAGUUACCUGUGGGCAGGUGUGUGUGUGAGAGAGAGCACGGAGUUACCUGUGGGCAGGUGUGUGUGUGUGUGAGAGAGAGCACGGAGUUACCUGUGGGCAGGUGUGUGUGAGUGAGAGAGCGUGGAGUUACCUGUGGGCAGGUGUGUGUGUGUGUGAGAGAGAGCACGGAGUUACCUGUGGGCAGGUGUGUGUGUGUGUGAGUGAGAGAGCGUGGAGUUACCUGUGGGCAGGUGUGUGUGUGUGUGUGUGUGAGAGAGCAUGGAGUUACCUGUGGGCAGGUGUGUAUGUGAGUGAGAGAGCACGGAGUUACCUGUGGGCAGGUGUGUGUGAGUGAGAGAGCACAGAGUUACCUGUGGGCAGGUGUGUGUGUGUGAGAGAGCACGGAGUUACCUGUGGGCAGGUGUGUGUGUGUGUGAGUGAGAGAGCGUGGAGUUACCUGUGGGCAGGUGUGUGUGUGUGUGUGUGUGAGAGAGCAUGGAGUUACCUGUGGGCAGGUGUGUGUGUGUGAGAGAGCAUGGAGUUACCUGUGGGCAGGUGUGUGUGUGAGUGAGAGAGCACGGAGUUACCUGUGGGCAGGUAUGUGUGAGUGAGAGAGCACAGAGUUACCUGUGGGCAGGUGUGUGUGUGUGAGAGAGCACGGAGUUACCUGUGGGCAGGUGUGUGUGUGUGUGUGUGUGUGUGUGUGUGUGUGUGUGUGUGUGUGUGUGUGAGAGAGAGCACGGAGUUACCUGUGGGCAGGUGUGUGUGUGAGAGAGAGCACGGAGUUA